rnacentral:misc_RNA from 1 species
UGUGUGCGACAGAGGGCAGAG